UGGUAGAAGAUUACGUCAGCUGAAACAAAUUCGGAAAGGACUAAAGGAAACCAAGGUGUGGUCACUUUUGAUUGAAAGGAAAGAUGUGCAGAUCUUUUCAAAGGAAAGUGAAUAUUCACUUACGCCACAGAUACUGCUCCCAUACAUACGCUGGCCCACUGAAAACAGUGCAGAUGAAGACGAUGAUGAUGACUGUCCACUGGAAAAAAGUGUCGCAUCUCAGGAUAUUUUUGGCAGUUCAUUGAGACUGCAUCCAGCCCUCACCUUAAAGAGUUGGUGAAGUUUUGGAUAGGGUGGGAAGUGCCCAGCGGAGACAUGGCAGUGGAAAUCAUCAAUGGCCUACUGCCUAAGUCUUCCAUCUGCUUCUGCACACUACGCUUACCAGGUCACUACACCAGUUACAGCCACUUCCAGGAAGACCUGUUGAGCUGUAUUGGCACCUCAGAUUUUGGUUUUGGGAUUAUUUAGCUGCACGUUUUAGUUUAGCAUAGGCAAGCCUCUUAAUGUGUGCUAUGGCUUGAAAAUCAAGUUCAGUUAAAUGUAUACACCAUGUUUGAGUUAUCAAGUUAGAUAAACCUGUUUUAAGUAUAAAGUUAACAUACAGGUGCUGGUCAUAAAAUUAGAAUA